rnacentral:rRNA from 1 species
UACGUAGGGGGCAAGCGUUGUCCGGAAUUAUUGGGCGUAAAGAGCGCGUAGGCGGUCCGAUAAGUCGGCUGUGAAAGUCAGGGGCUCAACCCUUGGAAGCCGGCCGAUACUGUCGGACUAGAGUCCGGAAGAGGCGAGUGGAAUUCCCGGUGUAGCGGUGAAAUGCGCAGAUAUCGGGAGGAACACCAGUGGCGAAGGCGACUUCCUGGCCUGUUCUUGACGCUGAGGCGCGAAAGCUAGGGGAGCAAACGGG